AUAAUUUAAUCUUAUUAUCUUGUUCAGAUUUAUCCGUUCUGUGCAUUUAGUCGUUUUUACAUGUAGUUUUAAGUUUUGCUACAGAAGUAGACUUUAUAAAGCUAUGAGAAUUGUAAAUAUAAAUAGCAGAAACUAGUAGUGUUUGCUACGAUGCCGUAGGUCGUUGGUUCUAUCUCUAACCGCCUCCAGCGCUCUGGUCGAUCGCCUACUGCUUCGAUGCGUCCAUUGCUCCCAGACCAUCCUACAGCUACGAUGUCUCUGCGCUUUAUCCAGGAUUCUUAGGCAUAUCAACAAUUUUUAUGGUAGGGGAUCAUCCCCAGAGAGAGGGAACUCUUUAUAAGGACAAUUCUUAUAAGGACUUGUAAAGAUAUUUCCAAGUGUCGUCUCCCCCAGAGCCGGCCACAACACUGAGAAAUACUUUACAAGUUGUUACCUGUACCUGAAAUGAUAGAAAGAAGGGGUUCACAAAUCAUAAGAGACAACCAUCACAUCAGAUUGGCUUUAGCAUCUGAGUCUGACAUCGUAGAAGUACCAUUCUUGCAUCAGAUUGGCUUUUGCAUCUGAGUCUGAGAUCGUAGAAGGACCAUUCUUGCAUCAAAUUGGCUUUUGCAUCUGAGUCUGAGAUCGUAGAAGGACCAUUCUUCCAUCAGAUUGGAUUUUGCACCUGAGUCUGACAUGGUAGAAGGACCAUUCUUGCAUCAGAUUGGAUUUUGCACCUGAGUCUGACAUCGUAGAAGGACCAUUCUUGCAUCAGAUUUGAUUUUGCACUUGAGUCUGACAUCGUAGAAGGACCAUUCUUGCAUCAGAUUUUCGACCUUGAUUUGUUCAGCACGCCGUGCGCUGCCAUUUGAAAUUUGAACAGUACCGCACCUGUCGCCGUGCGCCGUCGGCUUUAAGUGACAGUGCGCUAUACUGCUCAGUACAUUUUUCGCAGGCGUACGUAUAUCUGGCGCUGGUGGUUCGCAAUUGUACUGUGUGCACGUGUUCGCUUUCUUCUUCGCCACUGUUCGUCGCGACUGUUAGUAUUUCGGACGAUUUUAAUACGGUGCGAGCCUUAUAAUUGUUUAGUCAUCGAUUGUUAUCAACUACUGAACAAGAUUAAUCUCGAAUCGAUUGGAGACUCAAGACAUCACGCGCGCGUGUUAAGGCAUCAGCCGCCGGCCGUCGGAUCUCUUACGUUGGGCUACAGAUUUCAAUUGGAUUUAUAUUCCAAAAUGGUACUGUUAAUUAGAGGGAUAAAUCACGCGAUUUCUCCGUGUGGCAUAGUUGUUAGUGCAAAAGUAAUACAGUGAGUAGUUACAUCAGUUCUACUAACAAUUCUACUUUGUGUGUAACGUUUGAUAAGAGAGCGUUGUGACUCGAUGGUUCCUAGGAUAUGCCUUGGAUCGUACGUACGUUCGUUUUAUUAAAAAUGAAACAAGAAUGUAUCGUUAAAUAUAAUUCAUAAAACUCAAUUUAAAAUUAAAA